rnacentral:lncRNA from 1 species
CAUUUUCAUGUUGUUAUGAGAACAGAACAUGUCUUUGGUCGUUGGUGUUUGACAUUGAAUUUUGUGUCAUUCUUCCUAAAAAGCAAAGAGGGAGAUAAAAUGAGGGUAAAAUGUGGAUAAAAUUCGAAAAAACUGCUUUAAAUAUUUCAGAAAAGAAAGUGAUAUAUAAAAGAAUUAGUGAUUGCCUUGCAUUUGACUGAAUUACUUCCACUCUCUCUAAUCUCUGAUGUCGCUCACCUAAAUCAUCAUAGAUAUUAAAAAAGAACUUCAUGAGGAUCAUGAUUAUGGUCUUCAGUAGGAUUUUCAUAGGUGAAUGUAAAACAAUUCAGUACUUAUAUAAAAAUGGAGGGAUGAAGAUACACAACAUUAUCUUCACUUAGAAAAUUGAAGACGUACUUGAAUGUGCUUGAGGAAUUUGUAGUAGAAGAGCGUUUUCAAACCAUUGGAGAUCUCCAAAGGAUGUGUCAACGUCUUCGUUUUAAAAAUCAUUGAGAAAUCUAUUGAUGACUCAACGACCUUUCUCUAAGCAAACCCUGUAGGUAAUUGAUCUCGGUACUCACUUUUCAUCUGGCUAGACUCAAGAUUGUCACUGCUCUCUUUAUCAUCGUGAUGCGAUCGGUAUUUUUUU